rnacentral:rRNA from 1 species
UGAGGAAUAUUGGUCAAUGGGCGAGAGCCUGAACCAGCCAUGCCGCGUGAAGGAUGAAGGCGUUCUGCGUUGUAAACUUCUUUUAUCGGGGAAGAAACCUGAGAUAUCUAUUUCAGCCGACGGUACCCGAGGAAUAAGCACCGGCUAACUCCGUGCCAGCAGCCGCGGUAAUACGGAGGGUGCAAGCGUUAUCCGGAUUUACUGGGUUUAAAGGGUGCGUAGGCGGGACUAUGUAAGUCAGGGGUGAAAUCCCGGGGCUCAACCCCGGAACUGCCUUUGAUACUACUGGUCUUGAAUGUUGUUGAGGUGGGCGGAACGGGUCAUGUAGCGGUGAAAUGCAUAGAUAUGACCCGGAACACCGAUUGCGAAGGCAGCCCGCUAAGCAACCAUUGACGCUGAGGCACGAAAGCGUGGGGAUCAAACAGGAUUAGAUACCCUGGUAGUCCACGCCCUAAACGAUGAUUACUGGACGUUGGCAAUAUGACCGAUCAGCGUCUUUCUAAGCGAAAGCAUUAAGUAA